AAUGAACGCUGGCGGCGUGCCUAACACAUGCAAGUCGAGCGGUAAGGCCCCUUCGGGGGUACACGAGCGGCGAACGGGUGAGUAACGCGUGGGUAACCUACCCAGAAGUGGGGGAUAGCCCCGGGAAACCGGGGGUAAUACCGCAUGUGCCUCGACCGACGCGAGUCGAUUGAGGGAAAGACGGGGAUCCUUCGGGACCUGGUGCUUCUGGAUGGGCCCGCGUCCGAUUAGCUAGUUGGUGGGGUAACGGCCCACCAAGGCGACGAUCGGUAGCCGGCCUAAGAGGGUGUCCGGCCACAUUGGGACUGAGACACGGCCCAGACUCCUACGGGAGGCAG
rnacentral:rRNA from 1 species